UAGGGAAUCUUCCACAAUGGACGAAAGUCUGAUGGAGCAACGCCGCGUGAGUGAAGAAGGUUUUCGGAUCGUAAAACUCUGUUGUAAGGGAAGAACACGUACGAGAGUAACUGCUCGUACCUUGACGGUACCUUAUUAGAAAGCCACGGCUAACUACGUGCCAGCAGCCGCGGUAAUACGUAGGUGGCAAGCGUUGUCCGGAAUUAUUGGGCGUAAAGCGCGCGCAGGCGGUUCUUUAAGUCUGAUGUGAAAGCCCACGGCUCAACCGUGGAGGGUCAUUGGAAACUGGAGGGCUUGAGUACAGAAGAGGAGAGUGGAAUUCCACGUGUAGCGGUGAAAUGCGUAGAGAUGUGGAGGAACACCAGUGGCGAAGGCGACUCUCUGGUCUGUAACUGACGCUGAGGAGCGAAGCGUGGGGGAGCAAACAGGAUUAGAUAC
rnacentral:rRNA from 1 species